rfam:Onchocerca ochengi, WGS project CAWC01000000 data, contig: 05031_7068
GUCUAUGAUCAUAUCACGUUGAGAGCAUGAUAUCUCGUCCGAUCUGUCAAGUUAAGCAACUUUGGGCUUGAUUAGCACUUGAAUCGGAGAUGGCCUAGGAAUCCCAGGUAUUUUAGACA